rnacentral:tRNA from 1 species
UUACUUAUAGUUUAUGAAAAUGUUAGCAUUGGAAGUUAGAGAUCAGGUUGUGUGUGUUUAUCCUGUAAGUAAA